AACAAAUCAGAGUUGUGACCCAACAUCAGGAUUUUUUUUUUUAAUCUCUCCAGGUGAUUCUCAUGUGCAGCCAAGACUGAGAACCUCAUGAAGACGGAUAAGCAGGGCUACUCCCGAGGGACAGUGAUCCAUAACACGUGUUUGGCCAAGGCUCAGGAAGACCCCACACUAAUAGGCCCCACCACGCCAUCAGCCAGGAGGGAAGCCUGCCUGUCCCCGUCCUCACCGAAGGAUGGUCACCAACAGGAGAAGCUGCUCUAGAAGCACAGGAGGAAGACGCUCAGCCCAGAUCCACUCCAGAUCCCACAAAUAGGCUUGAGCAGGCUUGGGCAAAGCGUGGAUUAUGUAAAUACGUAUUUGGGGACUUUUUAAA